UAGUGGUGGGGGAACUUUUUGAGCUCAGUCGAGCUGCACGAAACAGAAACACUCGUACUCUCUCGUGAAAAAUACUAUAGUUUGUUAUUGUUUUGUGGAAUUGUGUAAGAGCACAAGAUAUAAGGGAAAAGGAGCAAAUGAUUCUAAAUUGGUACCAUUAUAUGUAUACAUAUAUAUGUAUGUAGGUGUCCAAGCAAUCUUCAACUUCGAGAAAAAUAGAUGCAAGCUUUAAUCACUUUGGAUAGCCAGAAGAGUGCUUUAAGCUUGCUAAAAAUGGCAUCGAUAUGUGCAGAACAUUUUGAUAAAAAUUGUUUGGUAAAGGCAGGCUUAUUGUCUUUACGUCUUAUUGUUAAACCUAACUCGGUUCCAAUGAUAUUCCCUCACGCAAACAAUGAAAGACCGGAAAUGAUUUCAACUCACAACUAUCCUGCAAUUAGCCUCCAAGAACAAUCGUCUGAAAUGCCAGCAUUGACGGAAAAUAAUUCGGUUAUUCUGUCUUCAUUGGAAACACCUUCUACUUCAAGAAAGAGAAUCAGAUAUC